rnacentral:sRNA from 1 species
UUACGUUAAGGAUAGCAGCGGCAUCCUUUUUUGCGCGCGCUUAUGCGCGAAAAAGAUAUAGCGUAUAGCCUGACCGAGU